rnacentral:rRNA from 1 species
CCCGGGUCUUGUACACACCGCCCGUCACACCAUGGGAGCGGGUUCUGCCAGAAGUAGUUAGCCUAACCGUAAGGAGGGCAAUUACCACGGCAGGGUUCGUGACUGGGGUG